AAGCCGUGAUGAGGGCAUUGGUUGGUGUAGCUUUUGAAGCGCUCCCAGGCUUCACAGAAGCUUUCUCCAUUCUUUUGUGCAAAACCGGAGAUCUCAUUGCGGAGCCU
rnacentral:snoRNA from 1 species